CUUUCUUUGCUGACGAGUGGCGGACGGGUGAGUAAUGCUUGGGAAUCUGGCUUAUGGAGGGGGAUAACUGUGGGAAACUGCAGCUAAUACCGCGUAUUCUCUGAGGAGGAAAGGGUGGGACCUUAGGGCCACCUGCCAUAAGAUGAGCCCAAGUGGGAUUAGGUAGUUGGUGGGGUAAAGGCCUACCAAGCCUGCGAUCUCUAGCUGGUCUGAGAGGAUGACCAGCCACACUGGAACUGAGACACGGUCCAGACUCCCACGGGAGGCAGCAGUGGGGAAUAUUGCGCAAUGGGGGGAACCCUGACGCAGCCAUGCCGCGUGAAUGAAGAAGGCCUUCGGGUUGUAAAGUUCUUUCGGUAAUGAGGAAGGGAUGUUGUUAAAUAGAUAGCAUCAUUGACGUUAAUUACAGAAGAAGCACCGGCUAACUCCGUGCCAGCAGCCGCGGUAAUACGGAGGGUGCGAGCGUUAAUCGGAAUAAUUGGGCGUAAAGGGCACGCACGCGGACUUUUAAGUGAGAUGUGAAAUCCCCGAGCUUAACUUAGGAACUGCAUUUCAGACUGGGAGUCUAGAGUACUUU
rnacentral:rRNA from 1 species